rnacentral:rRNA from 1 species
UAGGGAAUUUUUCACAAUGAGCGAAAGCUUGAUGGAGCAAUGCCGCGUGAACGAUGAAGGUCUUUAAGAUUGUAAAGUUCUUUUAUUUGGGAAGAAUGACUUUAGCAGGUAAUGGCUAGAGUUUGACUGUACCAUUUUGAAUAAGUGACGACUAACUAUGUGCCAGCAGUCGCGGUAAUACAUAGGUCGCAAGCGUUAUCCGGAUUUAUUGGGCGUAAAGCAAGCGCAGGCGGAUUGAAAAGUCUGGUGUUAAAGGCAGCUGCUUAACAGUUGUAUGCAUUGGAAACUAUUAAUCUAGAGUGUGGUAGGGAGUUUUGGAAUUUCAUGUGGAGCGGUGAAAUGCGUAGAUAUAUGAAGGAACACCAGUGGCGAAGGCGAAAACUUAGGCCAUUACUGACGCUUAGGCUUGAAAGUGUGGGGAGCAAAUAGGAUUAGAUACCCUAGUAGUCCACACCGUAAACGAUAGAUACUAGCUGUCGGGGCGAUCCCCUCAGUAGUGAAGUUAACACAUUAAGUAUCUCGCCUGGGUAGUACAUUCGCAAGAAUG